GGCCCGCCCCUGCACUCACUGGCAGUGGUGGCGGGAAGCGGAGCAACACAGUUGGGAGCUGACAGAGCGAAGCGGGCUGGGGCUUCCCGCUGUUGAUUAAUGCUCAAACUAUGAUAGGUGUUUGGACAAGAUCCAGUGAUGGCCAACUUGUAGCUAGUCUACAAGGAAAGGGAAACAGUACAAGACACCCUGUGCCUCUCUACAGAGGAGCCAGCAAACCCUGCAAGGACUGAGAGAAAGUACUAGGCGCUCACUGGAGCAAAGCAUUGCAAGCCAGAUGCCUUGAAAUUCUAUUUACAUGGACUAUGUGGGAAGCUCAUCCUCUCAAGUCCUAUGCAUAAACUUCAUUCAAUGAAAGAAACACAUCUAAACCUGGAAAUCUUCCAAAUAGGUCUCUCUGAUAUCCUUUCAAUGCCUUCCUUUGAUAUACACAAAAUGAUCUAUUUCCAAUCUAAUGAAUGAAAUAAAUUAAUAGCAUCCUGCACUAGCCUGGCUCAGUAGAUCAAUGAGAUUUAAUCACUUUUGGCACAAAAUUAAUGUGAGGUCAGCAUUUUCAGUUGGCAUCCUGCCAUUAUUACAGAAAUGACAUUCUCCUGGUAAGUAGUUGAACUUAUAAAAUACAUAAUGACAAAAGAACAGAACUUACUCUUAAGCUUUCAACAUUUUCAAUUCGUAAAAAUAU